CUCCGAUUUUAUUUCUGCCUCACACAGGACCUUGCAGGGUGACCUUGGGCCUCCCUCCCAGCUUUAGUUUCGUCGGAUCUGAAAUGGCGGCAGCAGUCUCCGCCUGGCACUCAUCAACCUGUGCCUACAGGCUGGCUCUCCUCCCCACAGUAGGACACUGGACAGAAGGCCAGGCCACCAGGCUCUCUGCAGCCCCAGGACCUUUCCCUGCCCCUGGCAGCGUGCUCUGUACAUCCAGACCCCACACUCAAUUGAUCCCUGCUGCAUCUGGUGGUACAAGAAAAAAUGCAGAAAAGAAGGGGAAGAAGCUGCAGCUUUGCCCACACUCCAAGAAUACCAACUUUGCUCCAUCUUUAUGACUUUCUUAAAAUGAACCUGUGCUCAUUACGCAACUCAAGACUAAACUAUGUCAUGUGAACACCACAGAAUUUCAAUGAAGGAUACUGAAGAUCAUCUCGUCUAAACCCCUCUCCCUUUUCCUUUUUGUCUUUUGAAACAGGGCCUUGCUAUAUAAUUCAGGUUGGCCUUGAACUCACUAUGUAGCCCAGGCUGGCCUCAAACUCACAGCAAUCUUCCUGCCUCGGCCUCCCAAGUAAGACCCUUAUUUUAUAGAUAAAGAAACUGACACACAGG
rnacentral:lncRNA from 1 species